UUAGGAUUGACGGAUUGAGAGUUCUUUCUUGAUUGGUCUAGUGGUGGUGCAUGGCCGUUCUUAGUUGGUGGAGUGAUUUGUCUGGUUAAUUCCGUUAACGAACGAGACCUUAACCUGCUAACUAGUGGCUUGAUCUCAAAUCGAGUGCACUUCUUAGAGGGACUAUGUGAUGUAAUCACAUGGAAGUUUGAGGCAAUAACAGGUCUGUGAUGCCCUUAGAUGUCCUGAGCUGCACGCGUACUACAAUGGCACUUUCAACGAGUUUUUCCUGAUCCGAAAGGAUUUGGGUAAUCCUUUUAGUGAGUGCCGUGCUUGGGAUAGUUCUUUGUAAUUGUGGAACUUGAACUAGGAAUUCCUAGUAAGCGCGAGUCAUCAACUCGUGCUGAUUACGUCCCUGCAAAAUGUACACACCGCCCGUCGCUUUUACCGAUUGAGUGUUCAGGUGAGUCUUCUUGAUAGUGUCAAAGCUAAAAAUUGAACAAACCUUAGCACUUAGAGGAAAAAGAAGUCGUAACAAGGUUUCCGUAGGUGAACCUGCGGA
rnacentral:rRNA from 1 species